rnacentral:rRNA from 1 species
AAACUUUCAACAACGGAUCUCUUGGUUCUCGCAUUCGAUGAAGAACGCAGCGAAAUGCGAUAAGUAAUAUGAAUUGCAGAUAUUCGUGAAUCAUCGAAUCUUUGAACGCACAUUGCGCCCUUUGGUAUUCCAAAGGGCAUGCCUGUUUGAGCGUCAUUU